AAUAGAUACCCCGGUAGUCCACGCCGUAAACGAUGAGUGCUAAGUGUUAGGGGGUUUCCGCCCCUUAGUGCUGCAGCUAACGCAUUAAGCACUCCGCCUGGGGAGUACGGUCGCAAGACUGAAACUCAAAGGAAUUGACGGGGGCCCGCACAAGCGGUGGAGCAUGUGGUUUAAUUCGAAGCAACGCGAAGAACCUUACCAGGUCUUGACAUCCCAUUGACCACUAUGGAGACAUAGUUUUCCCUUCGGGGACAACGGUGACAGGUGGUGCAUGGUUGUCGUCAGCUCGUGUCGUGAGAUGUUGGGUUAAGUCCCGCAACGAGCGCAACCCUUGUUCUUAGUUGCCAUCAUUUAGUUGGGCACUCUAAGGAGACUGCCGGUGACAAACCGGAGGAAGGUGGGGAUGACGUCAAAUCAUCAUGCCCCGUUAUGACCUGGGCUACACACGUGCUACAAUGGACGGUACAAACGGUUGCCAACCCGCGAGGGGGAGCUAAUCCGAUAAAACCGUUCUCAGUUCGGAUUGUAGGCUGCAACUCGCCUACAUGAAGACC
rnacentral:rRNA from 1 species